UUAGCUUGGAUUGGCAUGACAUUUAGGAAAGGACUGCUGGGCAGCCUUGCUAAUGCAGGUAUUCCAAACAUAAUCCACAACAUGUUGCCACUGGAAGCAUGAUUAUUCAUAUAACUGAAAGAAUAAUGAAUUUCUCACAAGUUGGAAGAAGUUUCAGGUCAAUCUGAAAAACAUUUUUCAAGUUAAUGUAAGCAUGACUGAAUUUGGUUGAACACUUGAAAUGUUAGGAUUUCCUAACUUCCAUGCUAGGACUUCUUUUUUUUUUUGCACUUCAGACAGGAGAGUGUUUCACAGGGACACGCUUCAAAUGAAGUGCAGGCACAUGGCCCUGGACCAGACUGCUGUGAUGUGGUCAGGGAAAGCUGCGAGAUGAAGGGGGUUCCUCCACCUCUGCUCAGGAGCUUGACUUCCGCUCAGGCCCUCACCCUUGGUCCUUCACCUGUGCUGGACCAUGUGCUGCCCUGCUCCCCACUACAGGCUUGUCCCAGCCUUCCCUAUCUCUACGGACUCAUCUGAUGGAAAAACCAUUAACUGGGAGUAACGUUUGCCUUUUCAAUUGUCUGGGUCCUCCUCUGACCUCCAUGACCUGUUAAAGAUGAUAGACUGGCCUUGCAAGGAUACCAGCCAGUGCUCUCAGCACCAGUGGAUGCAACCAAUCAUGUCCUAUGGAUUUGUAUAGACCAAGCUUUCUCAAGAAGCCUUGACUCGAUCCUCUUGCACCAUUGGUAGAUUUGAGCCCUGUUUCUAAGCCUGGAGGCCUGUGAGACCUUCCUGCAACAGUGGUGUAAGGAGAAGUUGACCUGAUUUGAGAAGAAUUGAGAGUGGCUGUGAACUUGAAGGUGGGGCUGGAUUUAUGCAAGUCAUGCAAAUCUAGACUAGUCUAAAAUCUGAUGACGGAUUGCUCUUUCAAAGACUUAUUCAAGUGGGUGCAUUUAUGACCAUUUAAUAAUAUGGAAUCUUAUUCAUAAUCUCCCAUGCUGCCUACCCAUUCAUGCACUGAAUCAUAAAGUAAUGUAACUUAUUUUCUGAAGGAAGGGACUUCCUGUGAAAAUGGAGCUAUAGGCAAAUAAAUAAAAAAAAUAAUUAUCAGACACUUAAGAAAAUGUACAUCUUUUUUUUUCUGGCUUCCAGUUGUCCCAGUAAAUUUUGUAGUUAUUGAGAAUGAGCAAACAUUUAUUAUGUGCUUGGGGAUAGUAUAUCCUUUCUCUCAAAAUCUAAUCUUUUCUCAAACCAACACUUAGAAGGUGCUGAAAAAAAUACUUCCUCAGUCUAUCUUCCAGUGCCUGGUCUGUAAGGGGGAGAGGAGUAAAAAAUCUGUAUUAUGGGCUGCUCUUUAGUAUCUUACCACGACUGAAAGCAGAAGUGAUAGAAAUGUCAUGGGAACUUUUUCUAGUAAGCUUCCCUGUCCAUUUUUGUAAAGUCAGGAGAUGCAGAUAAGACUUUCUGUUUUUCAAAAUUAAUUUCUAAAUCUGAUAUUGAGUUAUAGAAAAGUGUUUCAAAUUGUUUCCUUGUACUGAGAGUCCCAAGGUGCUGUUUAACAUUUAAUAAAUUGUGUUGAUUUUUCAGUUGCCUAACAAAUUAAAUAUAGCAAUGGCUUUGUAUCUAUCUUUCCAUUGCACCAUACUGAAGAUGGAGACUGGAAGUACUGCUGAAAUAGCUGUCCCUUGUUCUAGUAAAGGACAUAAACUUUGCAUAUGAUAUUUGCAGCAGAAAUUUAUGCAAGGCAUGUGCAACUUCACCAAUGUCAAAUGUGAUGCAAUAGCUGGUGUUGUGGACCCAGCUGUUGAAUAAGCAAGUUUUUAAGAGUAUCAUAGUAAAUGCUUGGUGUUUGCAUAAAAGGUUUAAAGAGAGUUCUAAGUUUUAAUAUUUGCAACUGAGUAUGACUGAGGGAGUCACUUUCAAGAUGAAACCAUCUUCCCCAAAGAGGAAUCUGGGGGAUUUUAAUUCUCUAUUCACAAAACCUUCUUUUACGAAAUUGAAGGUUUGAUUAUUUUUGUUCUGUAAAGAACCUACCCUAAGUAAAUAGGUUUUGUUUUCUAUUUUGUCUCUGACGGUUUCCAGGAUAACUUCUUUUUGUGCUAAAAGGCUCAAAGCAUCAGUCAACAGUGUCUUCUAAAAGAAUAUUCUGGAAAUAGAUGUUUCCCUCCUCCACGCCUGUUUCGUCCCCCAGGAGAAAACAAAAAUCUGCCCCCCAGGGAGGCAGCAGACUAGUCAGACCAGAUGGAGGGUAGGGCUUGGCAAGGAAAUAUUGAGGAGGAAUGGUAAUUGGAGUAUUUAAUGUGUUUCAAAAUAAUCACUAUUAAAAAUAAAUAAAUAAAUGAAAUUAGUGUGUCGGAGUGUGAUGCUGCAUGUCCCAACCAGCUGCUUUAGGAAGGAGUGAAGGUCUGGUGAUACAGGGUAUGAACUGCUGCAGAAGGCUGCAGUCCAGAGGUGUGCUCCAAAUGGAGAGGGGCUUAUGAACUUCAAUCCAGAAGGGAAUUUGGCAAGUAAAUAAAGCAGCAGCACCUUGAAGUGGUGUGCCAUUUGAGCAUGCUGGGUUUUGAACUGGCAUUGGUGGUUCCUAUCUCUGUUCCCAAGGACCAAUCCCUAAGGAGCAAAGUCCUAGCAACUCUGAUUGUCCAAGUGCAAUCAGAAUCUGUUACAAGAAUGUAACUUCAAAGAAAAAAAAAAAAAGAAAAGGAAAGCACUAAAUGCCUCCCAAAGGACCCUCAGAAAGGUAUAAUGGUGAGAUCUGCCAUACUAUUUAGCAACCUCAUUAACAGGCAUUAAUGAAGUCCUGACUCUUGAUUACUCUGCAAAUCGGAAAAUAACUGUAUUGAAGACACCAAGCCUGAGUUUAAGAAGCAUUUGGACUGUGCUGUCAGUCAUAUGGUCUGAAUUUUUGGGUAGACCGGUGUGGUGCCAGGAGUUGGACUCGAUGAUCCUUAUGGGUCCCUUCCAACUCAGGAUAUUCUGUGAUUUUAUGAUUCUGUGAAGAAGAGGUGGCCUAGGAAAUCUUUUUUCACUUCUGAUCUCAGUUUCAAAUAUUGUGUCAGUCUGAAAAGGUAUAAAAAUAAAAUGACUGUAACUACAUGUAUAACAUGUAGAAAGAGAUGACCAUUGUGUGUAGAGGCAUUUAGUAGAAAGCAGGGUUACACAGUUUUGUUUCUCAGAGGUUAAACAGUACAAGCAGCAGAUAUUAGGGGAAAAAUCUUCAUGCUCUGUUUCCUGAUUUUGAAAGCAAACUCAGAUAGCUCUUCCGCUUCUGAAUUACAUAAAGACUGAAGUUAUCUGCGUUUCAAAAUCCUCCCAAGACAGCCCAACAGCUGUGUUGGAAAUAAAGACAAAAAUUUCACACUAACUAACUGUUGGUUAUGGGAUAAUUUUUAAAUAGUAUUUAAUUCAGAUUUAUUUUUCUGCUAGAGAAUUAAAUGCUCAGAUAAAUAAUUUGAGCAAACUCUUAUAAAUCCAAAUUUAAGCAGCUGACCCGUGGGCCCACUUUCCAAAAAUAACUACUUCUGUU